UACGGUAGGUGGCAAGCGUUGUCCGGAAUUAUUGGGCGUAAAGCGCGCGCAGGUGGUUCCUUAAGUCUGAUGUGAAAGCCCACGGCUCAACCGUGGAGGGUCAUUGGAAACUGGGGAACUUGAGUGCAGAAGAGGAAAGUGGAAUUCCAAGUGUAGCGGUGAAAUGCGUAGAGAUUUGGAGGAACACCAGUGGCGAAGGCGACUUUCUGGUCUGUAACUGACACUGAGGCGCGAAAGCGUGGGGAGCAAACAGG
rnacentral:rRNA from 1 species